GCCUCCCUUCCGAGGAGGCGGUGCUGGGGCGGGCGCAGGACUGCAGGCUGGGGUUCCGCUCCCCGGCGGGAGCCCGCGCGUGGUUCCCAGCGAAGUCGCCGCGCGGCUGGGCCCAGCGUGAGUAUUCUCCGCCCGCUGUCCUCCCCCUGCAGGCGGCAGCGCCCGUUUAUUUGAGCCAUGUGAAGAUGUGCCUGCUUCGCCUUCCAUCAUGACUGAAGUUUCCUGAGGCCUCCCCAGCUAUGCUCCCUAUACAGCCUGCAGAACGUAGAGAUGGGGUUUCGCCAUGUUGGCCAGACUAGUCUCGAACUCCUGAGCUCGUGAUCUACCCACCUCGGCCUCCCAAAGUGUUGGGAUUACAGGCGUGAGCCACUGCGCCUGGCCUCAGGUCGGCUGCCUCCAAUCCUGAGGUCAUCACUCGUCAAGAGGGGAUAAUCCCAGGGACAGCAGGAUCUGCUUCGUUACUUGGAUUGAGGAGCCAGAAACCCAUCAGGCAACUAAACAGUAACAAUGACCCACCAUUAAACACACUGAGAGAAGAGCAUGAUGAAGAGUUUGUACAAGAAGAAGCCAAGAGCACUUGCUGUCAAUGCUUACAGAGACGCAGGCUUCUAUGAGCUCUGCCUGUUGAACUGCAGUAAAAAUAGAUCUCCUUCCCCAGAGAUGCUUGGAUGUGGGCACAAUAUCAGUUCAGACGAUGGUCAAUGCAUGUACUUAAUAGAGUGAAAAGACUUUGGACUGUGAAGUCAGAUUACCUGGGUCUGAAUUGUUAUUCUUCUACUUCUUUGUAGUAUGCUUUCACCACAUUAAAAAUUGUCUGAGCCUCAAUUUUUUUAUCUGCAAAAUGGAGCUAAUACCUACACAGGGGCUUUUAAGAGAAUCAAAUGCAACAGUGUUUGAAAAGCAACGUACUCCCCUUUAUGGAAAAAGAGCCUGUAAAGGAACCAAUACAAUGGCUGGGCGUGGUGACUCACACCUGUAAUCCCAGCACUUUGGGAGGCCGAGUUGGGUGGAUUGCCUGAGCUCAGGAGUUCGAGACCAGCCUGGGCAACAUGGUGAAACCCCGACUCUACUAAAAUACAAAAGAUUAUCCUGGCGUGGUGGUGUGCACCUGUAAUCUAAGCUACUUGGGAGGUUGAAGCAGGAGAAUUGCUGGAACCUGGGAGGCAGAGGUUGCAGUGAGCCAAGAUCGCACCACUACACUCCAGCCUGAGUGACACGAGACUCUGUCUCAAAAAUAAAUAAAUACAAAAUAAAUAAAGUAAAGGAACCAAUACAACAAAGGCUUCUCUCAACAUUUUCCCUGCUCCUAGGCACUCAAUAUCAGAACAUAGGCUUCUUUCUUUUGCUCAGA